rnacentral:tRNA from 1 species
CAGGUGUGGUUCAAUGGUAGAACACCAGCCUUCCAAGCUGGUGACGUGGGUUCGAUUCCCAUCACCUG